UGCCAAAGUGGCAUAUAUAUUUGAGGGGAUUGUGUGAGUGUUGUAUUUGUGAAUUUUGAUUGUGUUUGUCAUAUUAGGUAUACUUACCUAAUGUGCAUCAGGUCUGGUUUGUAAAAGUUUUGUAUUCCCGCGUCUUGUGCUUACAUUUACGUAAUGUUCAGUUUCCCGCGUCUUGUACAUGUACCUUGUGUUGCCCGUGUAUGUCAUGUAUAUGUUGUCACGUGACUGAGUGUACCCGACCUGUAGGACCGCGCCACCCGUGGACUAUCACAUCAGCGACACACGGGUGAGGACGUAUAUACGGCUUGACUGUUGACUAUCUGCCAGAUUAUUGUUAAAGGAUAAAAACGCAUGUGUGCUCGUAAUUUAUCAUACUUUGUCUACGAGUCCUGUAAUACUAUCGGGAGAGGAACCCCUGUCCAAGGGAUAGGGGUAUCCUCCCGGGCCCAUAAGAGGAAGUCAAACGGCCACGGAAAUGAGGAAGAGGAGGUCGGCGGCGUCCGAAAACAAAUCUGUAAAUGUGAGUGAGCUGGAUGCCCUAAUAAAGCCCCAAUCUAUUUUGCAGGAUCUUCAGAAAAAUCAAAUGAUGAAGAAACUGCUGAAGUGACUGACUUGGCAAUUUUCCCAGAAUCCCUAGCUGCCUCAAUGUGUGUGGAUUCCUGCUACGUUCCAAGCCUGAUCCCCUCCAUCCAGGCCUAUCUGUCUGUCCCUGCUGUCGAGGUCUACCUCCAGAACCAGAUGGCCUACUUAGGAAAAGUUAAGAAUGGAUAAAAAGUACCGCUGUGUACCAGGUUGCCACAACACAUCUGACACCAUCAGUGAAAAUGGGGACAAGGUUACCCUCCAUAGGUUUCCAAUGUCAGAAAAGAGAGCCAACAUAAGAAGACUUUGGAUUCAGAGCAUCAGAAAUGUCCGGGCUAAUCUCAUCGUGAAAGAUCACACAAUAGUUUGUAUCAGAAAAUGCUGUGCAAACCAUUUUUCCAACUAAACCUAAAAAAACUAUUACGCCACGUCGUCCAUUGGUUAGAAAAAUUGAUCUUGAGGAAAAUGAAAAUAUUUGUUCUGAUGUAGAUAGUGCGCUAUUAGAUCAAGUGACAUAGAUGCAUUCAACCAUGGACCAGUCAACAAAUACUUUUUUCGCAAACAUGUGAAAUUGGGCUUCAAUCAGGGAGUUUGGUUUGGUUUGGUUUGGUUUAUUUUGUUUAACGUCCUAUUAACAUCUAAGGUCAUUUAAGGACGGCCUCCCAUGC